CAGAUUUUAUUCUCCUUUAUAUGACAAUUGAAAGAAACCCUUUCUGCUGAACCCUUAAGGAAUCCGGUCGAAAUCGAAGGAUCACCAGUGUAAUCAAAGCAAAAACAAGGGUAUGGAAAAAUCUAAUGGUAAAGAAAAGGGGUUAAAGAAUUUAGUAUGGACACAUCAAAUGGAUAGAGUACUUAUAGACACAUUGACUGAACAACUUGCAUCUGGUAACAAAGGAGAUACUGGUUGGAAAGGAUCAUCAUAUAGAGAAGUAGUGAAACGAAUGGAUCAACAGCUGCAACUUACAAUCUCUGUUGAUAAUGUGUGAAAUCGUUUGAAAAUAUGGAGAAAUCAUUUUAUUGCUGUCAAAGAGUGUCUUAGUCAUACUGGGUUUGAAUGGGAUGAUGUUUUGAAGAGGAUUACAGCUUCACAUGCUGUAUGGGAUGAACACCUAAAGACGAAUAAGAAGCAUGCUGUUUAUCGAACUAAACAUUUUGCAAAUUGGGAUGAAAUUGUCCCACUCGUUUGCCAUGAUCACGUCAUUAGGAAUCAAGGGAAGACUGCUAAUGGAUGUAAUAAAAAUGGUAUCGUAGGUGAUGAGGGAAGUCCAGGAACUGGAAAUAACCUCAGUAUUGAGGACACUAUAGAGCAUGAUGCUAAUCUAUUGGGUGAUGAUGAUACACCCAAAUCGACUCCAUCUCCAAAUACGAGUUCUUUAAUGUCGCAAGGAGGAAGUGAUUCAUCACAUGGAAGAAAUGGCUUGUUGAAGAGAAAGAGAUCACUAAGGGCAAAUCCGAUAUAGCUUCAGCCUUAGAAUCGAUAGCAGAGAGUAUGAAAAGUGUAGCCGAUGCUAUGGUAGAGCGUAC